rnacentral:rRNA from 1 species
CGUUCUUUGAAAAUGUACUUAUAGUAGUUCUUUAACAGAUAGUAAUAUAAAGAAUCGGACCUGCCCAGUGACUAGUUGUUAAACGGCCGCGGUACUCUGACCGUGCAAAGGUAGCAUAAUCAUUUGCCUUUUAAUUGAAGGCUUGUAUGAAUGGUUUGACGAAAACUAAACUGUCUCUUUUUAAUUUUAAAUAAAUUAAUUUGCAAGUGAAGAAGCUUGCAUUUAGCUGAGGGACAAGAAGACCCCAUUGAGCUUCAGUCAUCUAAUAAAAUUAUAAAUUAGGUUUAAUCUUGUAUGAUUUAAUUUUGCUGUUUCAUUUAGUUUAUGAAAAUAUUUUUUAUUAGUAAAUCUUUAGUUGGGGCGACUAAGGAAUAGAAUAAGCUUCCUUUGAUGUUUUAUGAUGGAAUACACUCUAAGUCAACUAGAUCCAGCAGUUGCUGAUCAAAGGAAAAAGCUACCAUGGGGAUAACAGCGUAAUCUUUCUAGCGAGUUCUUAUCGAAGGAAGGGUUUGCGACCUCGAUGUUGGACUAAGAUAUCCUAAAGGUGUAGAAGCUUUUAAUGGUUAGUCUGUUCGACUAUUAAAAUCUUACA